rnacentral:rRNA from 1 species
GGGACGAACGCUGGCGGCGUGCUUAACACAUGCAAGUCGAGCGGUAAGGCCUUUCGGGGUACACGAGCGGCGAACGGGUGAGUAACACGUGGGUGAUCUGCCCUGCACUCUGGGAUAAGCCUGGGAAACUGGGUCUAAUACCGGAUAUGACCUGCUCUCGCAGUGGGGGGUGGGUGGAAAGAUUUAUCGGUGCAGGAUGGGCCCGCGGCCUAUCAGCUUGGUUGGUGGGUAAUGGCCUACCAAGGCGACGACGGGUAGCCGACCUGAGAGGGUGACCGGCCACACUGGGACUGAGACACGGCCCAGACGUCCUACGGGACGGCAGCGAGGUGGGGAAUAGUUGCAACAAGUGGGACGUAAAGCCUAGGAUCGCGAGCCGACGCCGCGUGGAGGGAUGGAACGGCCGUUCGGGUUACGUUAAACCGUCUUUACGACGUCGAGGACGAAGCG